rnacentral:rRNA from 1 species
GGUUGUAGGACUGAAAGGGACCGACCCUUCGGGGAGCCUAUACAGGUGUUGCAUGGCUGUCGUCAGCUCGUGUCGUGAGAUGUUCGGUUAAGUCCGCUAACGAGCGCAACCCUCGUCGUAUGUUAUAUGUGUCAUACGAGACUGCCGGUAAAAAGCCGGAGGAAGGUGAGGAUGAUGUCAAGUCAGCAUGACCUUUAUAUCCAGGGCUACACACACGCUACAAUGGUCUGUACAAUGGGUAGCCAAGCCGCGAGGCGGAGCCAAUCCUGAAAGCAGGCCUCAGUUCAGAUUGCAGUCUGCAACUCGACUGGCAUGAAGCCGGAGUUGCUAGUAACCGCAGGUCAGCAAUACUGCGGUGAAUACGUUCCCGGGUCUU